GUGUGAAAAACUCCGGUGGUAUGAGAUGGACCCGCGUCUGAUUAGCUAGUUGGCGAGGUAACGGCUCACCAAGGCGACGAUCAGUAGCCGACCUGAGAGGGUGAUCGGCCACAUUGGGACUGAGACACGGCCCAAACUCCUACGGGAGGCAGCAGUGGGGAAUAUUGCACAAUGGGGGAAACCCUGAUGCAGCAACGCCGCGUGAGUGAAGAAGUAUUUCGGUAUGUAAAGCUCUAUCAGCAGGGAAGAAAAUGACGGUACCUGACUAAGAAGCCCCGGCUAACUACGUGCCAGCAGCCGCGGUAAUACGUAGGGGGCAAGCGUUAUCCGGAUUUACUGGGUGUAAAGGGAGCGUAGACGGCGAAGCAAGUCUGAAGUGAAAGCCCGGGGCUUAACCCCGGGACUGCUUUGGAAACUGUUUUGCUAGAGUGCUGGAGAGGUAAGUGGAAUUCCUAGUGUAGCGGUGAAAUGCGUAGAUAUUAGGAGGAACACCAGUGGCGAAGGCGGCUUACUGGACAGUAACUGACGUUGAGGCUCGAAAGCGUGGGGAGCAAACAGGAUUAGAUACCCUGGUAGUCCACGCGGUAAACGAUGAAUGCUAGGUGUUGGGGAGCAAAGCUCUUCGGUG
rnacentral:rRNA from 1 species